AUUGAACGCUGGCGGCAUGCUUUACACAUGCAAGUCGAACGGCAGCGGGGGCUUCGGCCUGCCGGCGAGUGGCGAACGGGUGAGUAAUGCAUCGGAACGUACCCAGUCAUGGGGGAUAACUACGCGAAAGCGUAGCUAAUACCGCAUACGCCCUGAGGGGGAAAGCGGGGGACCGCAAGGCCUCGCGUGAUUGGAGCGGCCGAGGUCGGAUUAGCGAGUUGGUGGGGUAAAGGCCUACCAAGGCGACGAUCCGUAGCGGGUCUGAGAGGAUGAUCCGCCACACUGGGACUGAGACACGGCCCAGACUCCUACGGGAGGCAGCAGUGGGGAAUUUUGGACAAUGGGGGCAACCCUGAUCCAGCCAUGCCGCGUGAGUGAAGAAGGCCUUCGGGUUGUAAAGCUCUUUCAGACGGAAAGAAAACGCUUCUCCUAAUACGGGGGGCGGAUGACGGUACUGUCAGAAGAAGCACCGGCUAACUACGUGCCAGCCGCCGCAGUAAUAC
rnacentral:rRNA from 1 species